CUCUCUGUGCCUUUGGUGUGACCAUCUUGUGCCCCAGAGCUCUUUGGCUUCAGUGAAAUGUCGACAAUCCUGAAAUGGUUUGGACGGGAAGACAAGGAGAGAGAAGAGAAGGAAAAGGACAAGAAAGAGGAGAAGGAAGAAAAGGAGAAGGAAAAGGCUGAGGGAGAAAAAGAGGACAAGCAGAAGAGAAAGGAGGAGGAAGAAGAGGAAAAGCAGUGACAAAGAUGAUGAGCAGGAAGACAAGG